AGCCUGAUGCAGGGCCCGAACUCACUAACCAUGAGAUCAUGACCUGAGCAGAAGUCAGUCGCUUAACCGACAGAGCCACCCAGGUGCCCAAGUGGUUUUACCCUUUUCAAUAAUUAUGAUCUUACUAAAUGUCAUAAACUUCAUAAAUCUGGAUUCUGUCUCAAUCAUUAAUUUAUUGUCAUUUUUAUACCAUCAUAGGGCAACACUUGAUGAUAUAGAAAAUAUUUAAAGAAUGCUAUUAUAUAGGUAUUGGUCCACUUAGUCUAGUUCUGUGGCACUGGAGUCCCUGGGAAGUCACCUCUGGUGGACAUUUACCUCCUCUCAUGUGUUAAAUACUGUGAUGUUCUUUGUGAGUUGUGAAAGGAAAAUGUCUGGGGAGCAUUGGAUGGGAAAGGUAGUAACUCUAUUAGCUAGAAUACCCCAUUUUUCAGCCAAAUAGGAAAACAACUUUUUCUAUGUCCUCUGGGCACAGUUUGUGUCUACUUCUCACCCCCUUCUAGUAUUAUAUAGGACUGAGUUCUCAACAAAUAGGUGAAAAUGGAAGCUGCCAUAAAAUAUGCAAUAUGUGUUAUAUUUCUUUGACUUGAAAAUGGGUUACAGUAAAAGCUGCUGAAUAUGCUUGGAGUUACCCUUCUGGAAAAGUAGUGUAACAGCAAUGAAGGGUUUACACAUUUCUGUUCCUUUAUGCAGAUCUUUCUAAAAUGUCCUAAACACUUGCCUCAGACAAUUUACAACCUAGCAAGGAAGCAGACAUUAAAUAAGUAAUCGUGAGUGUGAUAAAUGCUGGUUAUGAAGGAAAACCAUCCUUGGAAGCAUAUACCAGGGUACCUAACCCAGUUCUUAUAAAUGUCGCCCAUGCUGUUUCUUUUUGCUUGGUCAGAUUUUGAAUUCAUCUCUCCCAACUCUAAGGCAAGACAAAACACUCAUGUCUCUCACUGAAGAAAAUCAACCCACAAGGCACUGAUGAACGUUGCCAGUUCUACUGAAGAUUUUUGUGGGGUUAGGGGUUAAACUGGAUAGGGUUAAAUUGCAUAGGACACAGCAAACAACUUAAUGAGAAUCUCCAUUAAAAGUUUCUCCUCUCCCUGCCUGUCACUGCCAAGUUCUCUCUGGCCAGUGAAGGAAUUCCUCUUUGUUGUAACUAGUAAUUCACAUCCAUGGCAGCACCAAAUCAGAUAUGCCAGACUGAGCUGAUCAAAGCAGCAAGUGGAGUCAUCUGUUUGCAGGGUAGCUCCUUCCUAAGGGAAAGACGACAGUGGAUGGCAGGUACAGCAGUGCUUGUUAAGCCACAGAGCCAGCACUGGCUGCGGAGAUUAGACCUGACUGCUAAGAAGGCAGCAGCAGCAGGCGGGACAGGAGAGUGGAGCUGGAGACCUGAUCAGACAGAAGACAGCUGGCAAGUGGGUGUGCCUAUUAUGGGUAACAGUGAGGCCCUUCUCCAGAGGACCCCUCAAGAGCAUCAGCUCAAGAGACUGGGAAUUCAAGCGUCCAAGAAACAGCCAAUUCAUUCGGCCUGACUGCCUCAUCUGCAUUGGUGUCUACCUCUGCAGGGCAUCACACGGACAUUGUGGAAGGGAGCAGAGGGCCCCUUUUUUCUACCCUGCCCCGCCCAGCUUUCAGCCUGCAGCGCAACUGCCCUAUCUCCCAGUUUCUCCAAUCUUGUAUCCUGAUGCCCAUCACUUAGCCCAGCAAACAAAACCCUCCACAACUUACCUGUAUCCACACAUCAGGAAGUUUGCAAACAAAAAAUACCUGAUUAUGUCACAAAUGGUAUUUUUCCAUGCCACACAAGCCACAGGAACCAUUUGGGUAGAAAUUUUUUCAUGGUCCUUCCACCAUGUUGAAUUUCUCUGCUUUAAUUCCUAGACCUAGACAUUUGUUUCCCAUCGAACACAUAUACACCCUACAUUUGUGUGAUUCUUUCCCUUCUCAUGCUACUAUUUAGAUUAUUUCUUGUUUCUGACUACCUGCCCAAAUUAUAAUCACCACUUUGAGUUUUAAUCCAUAUUCCAGGGCCCUAGUUUUCCUCAAGGCUGGCGUAUUAAGAAUUCUUUUGUCAGGCAAGAAAAAGAACCUAAAAUACACAUUUGGUUUCUCUUGUGCAGGAAUAUUUUCUCUGCCUACAAGAUAGUUUGACUCUUCCACUAACUACUAAAGGAAACAAUUGUACAGUCCACAAGGUAACUAGAAGCCCAGAAGACCUCCAGGAAGUUACCACAAAGUUGAUCACUUCCUCGUUGUGCUAACUCCACACCUCAUACUUCUUCUGCUUCACAGACUCACCAAUACUGUUCAGCCAAAUAGGAGGCAGGGAAAAAAGAAAAGAAGGUGACAGUGACAGUUUUACUUCAAGUGUCUGAGCAGAUGGUGAAAAAGGAAAUGCAAGAAGUGAAAAUUUAAGGAGAAAUUUAAUGAGUUCUGCUUUAGUCUCUGGGACACAACAGAUAAUGAAGAAUAUGUUGAAGAAAAUUAAAUGUGCAAGUCUUUGGUGGGCAGUGAUCUGAGGCUUCACCACCAGAUUUGCAGGAACAAGAAGUUGCCAGAAUAGUACACAGAGCUUCGCCUUACUACACCCUGCUUUCCCCAAUGAUGACAUCUUAUAUAACCACAGCACCUGAAAAUGGAGAAGUUGACAUUUGUACAAUGGUAUUAAGUAAAUUAGAGAAUUUAAUUUGGAUUUCA